UCGAACUUUUAUGUAUAAAUU
rnacentral:piRNA from 1 species